rnacentral:rRNA from 1 species
CGUAGGUGCAGCGUUGUCCGGAUUAUUGGCGUAAGAGCUCGUAGGCGGUUUGUCACGUCGGAUGUGAAAUCCAGGGCUCAACCCUGGACCUGCAUUCGAUACGGGCAGACUAGAAUUCGGUAGGGAGUCUGGAAUUCCUGGUGUAGCGGUGAAAUGCGCAGAUAUCAGGAGGAACACCGGUGGCGAAAGGCGGGACUCUGGGCCGAUAUUGACGCUGAGGAGCGAAAGCGUGGGGAGCGAACAGGAUU